rnacentral:rRNA from 1 species
CAACAGGGAUUGCCCUAGUACGGCGAGUGAAGCGGCAACAGCUCAAAUUUGAAAUCUGGCUCUUUCAGAGUCCGAGUUGUAAUUUGCAGAGGGCGCUUUGGCGUUGGCAGCGGUCCAAGUUCUUUGGAACAGGACGUCACAGAGGGUGAGAAUCCCGUACGUGGUCGCUAACCUUCGCCGUGUAAAGCCCCUUCGACGAGUCGAGUUGUUUGGGAAUGCAGCUCUAAAUGGGAGGUAAAUUUCUUCUAAAGCUAAAUACUGGCCAGAGACCGAUAGCGCACAAGUAGAGUGAUCGAAAGAUGAAAAGCACUUUGGAAAGAGAGUCAAAUAGCACGUGAAAUUGUUGAAAGGGAAGCGCUUGCAGCCAGACUUGCCUGUAGUUGCUUAUCUGGACUUUUGUCCGGUGCACUCUUCUGCGGGCAGGCCAGCAUCAGUUUGGGCGGUUGGAUAAAGGUCUCUGUCAUGUACCUCUCUUCGGGGAGGCCUUAUAGGGGAGACGACAUGCAACCAGCCUGGACUGAGGUCCGCGCAUUUGCUAGGAUGCUGGCGUAAUGGCUGUAAGCGGCCCGUCUUGAAACACGGACCAAGGAGUCUAACAUCUAUGCGAGUGUUUGGGUGUCAAGCCCGGACGCGUAAUGAAAGUGAACGGAGGUGGGAACCCUUUGGGUGCACCAUCGACCGAUCCUGAUGUCUUCGGAUGGAUUUGAGUAAGAGCAUGGCUGUUGGGACCCGAAAGAUGGUGAACUAUGCUUGAAUAGGGUGAAGCCAGAGGAAACUCUGGUGGAGGCUCGCAGCGGUUCUGACGUGCAAAUCGAUCGUCAAAUUUGGGCAUAGGGGCGAAAGACUAAUCGAACUAUCUAGUAACUGGGUCCCUGCCGA